rnacentral:rRNA from 1 species
UACGAAGGGGGCUAGCGUUGCUCGGAAUCACUGGGCGUAAAGGGCGCGUAGGCGGCGUUUUAAGUCGGGGGUGAAAGCCUGUGGCUCAACCACAGAAUGGCCUUCGAUACUGGGACGCUUGAGUAUGGUAGAGGUUGGUGGAACUGCGAGUGUAGAGGUGAAAUUCGUAGAUAUUGGGAAGAACACCGGUGGCGAAGGCGGCGACCUGGUCCAUUUACUGACGCUGAGGCGCGAAAGCGUGGGGAGCAAACAGG